GAAAGAGUUUAGUUACGCAUUCAUAGUCUUCCGUGAACCACGCGAACGAAGUUACUUACGAUUAUCGUCGAAUGGAAAACCUAUUUUAUCAGAAUGAAAAGCGGUGACCGCCAAGCGAGAUCCGCAGCAAAUAAAUCAAGGAUACGUAUGAUGUAAUUCGAAGCCGAGGAAUUCUUUGAGCAUGAUGUAGAUUUAUGGAAAUGGAAUACCGUCAACCUAAUUAAAGUGUCCUUAGAGAUAUAUCUAUGGGCCAGAAUAAGAACAUUCCUUAAAAAAUGUAAUGUGAUGAAACAAUAUAUACCAUAAAGAGAGCAUCGAAAAAGAAUAUUUGAGUAGAGUGGCAAUAGCAGACAGUAAAACCGUAAAAAAUAGUAAAAUGAUGAUAAUGCGAAUAUAAAUUCGUUAGGUAUAAAAGGACGAAAAUAGCAAAGUUAUUAGUAAGGAAUUGAAAAAUGAAGUACACGUGAAAUAAAUGUUAAGCGCACGUAACAGGCAAGGUUCGCCAAGUAACACUGCCGUUAAAGUUAAUAAGAUUCUGUUCAUUAGUGCUAAUAAGAUCUAUUUCAGUCAAUCGAUAAAAACACAGAUUCGCAAGAAACAUACGACAUGAGGAAUCAUAAAUUAAUCGUGCUGCGUCAUGUUUGCGCACAAAGUACGAAAUAUUCAAGUAUCGUUGCCUUUCAUUUCAAUGAGAAUAACAAUUUCAUUGAUUUUAAUUAUUUGAUAGAUAAGAGAAAAUAUUUCACGAAAAUACUCAGAAUGAAAAUAUGGAGUUGCUGAAACAAAAGACAAAAGAAUGUAUAGUACACGGCAAGAAAGAAAAAUUAUAUGAAUAGAAAAAAAUAGACAGGAGUACAAAAGUACAGAACAAAAAUUGUAUAUUAUUCUCUUUUUUAAAAGCAGUGUAUAAGAAGAAAGAAGAGGGAAAACAUUAAAGAAUAUGAAGAAAACAAAAAGAAUAGGGGAAGUUUUAGAAAAGUUUUUACAAGACAAUAGGGUAAAUAUACUUUGCAAGGUGUAUUUCAGGCAUGCAUGAAUGAAUAGAGAGUUGAUAUGCAUGCGUGAAAAGUAAAUCCAUUCUGUAGCCAGGAGACAAAAAUCAGCGAAUAAAUAACAAUAACAAUGUAUUGUACUUUUUUAAACUAAAAUUUACAGCGUGACAAAUAAAAAUAAGGGAAUAAGUAACAAUAAAGACAUAUCAGACAUUUUUAAC